rnacentral:lncRNA from 1 species
GGCCAAGGCUACGAAGGUUGAGAAAAAGACAGAGCCGAGUUGCUGAGUCGAGGCCCUUCGAUAGUUGAGGCAUUACGGGAGUCAGAGGAAUUCUCUUGAGUGAAGGUCGAGUUCGGCCAUGAAGCCUACAGCACCAGAAAGGAUGACUACCAUAGGAAGAUUACAGCAUGCUUUCCAAAUCUUGAACUAACCAUCCUGAAUGAAGGAUAAGGGGAGG